AAGAGGUCGUGAGGUCAGAUCUGACAGAAACAAUGGUUUAGCGGAUGUUCUGGAUAAAAAUAGGCCUAGAUUCGGAAAACGGUCGGAACAGGGAAGAAUGAAGAAAUUAAGUUUGCUUCAACUCAUAAAUCAGCUGAACAAGGAUGGAUUUACUCGAUAAUUCUGGUAUCCCUGAUUACCAGAUAAUUCUGGUAUCCCUGAUUACCAGAUAAUUCUGGUAACCUUGAUUACCGGAUAAUUCUGGUAUUCCUGAUAACCAGAUAAUUCUGGUAUCCCUGGUUACCGGAUAAUUCUGGUAUCCCUGAUUACCAGAUAAUUCUGGUAUUCCUGAUUAGCAGAUAAUUCUGGUAUCCCUGAUUACCAGAUAAUUCUGGUAACCCUGAUUACCAGAUAAUUCUGGUAUUCCUGAUUACCAGAUAAUUCUGGUAACCCUGAUUACCAGAUAAUUCUGUUAUCCAUAAACUUCUUCCUAUUUUAUGCUAACUAUGUUCCAAAAGAGAGAUAAACCCUGCGCCCAAUCCCCUUGAAUUUGUCAGCACUAUACUGUGUACCCCUCACACGCAGUUUGUUCAUUUUAUAAUGUAUAUUAAUGCGAAAUUGAGAUUGUGAAAUCAAGAUAUAACCAUAAGAUGUAGUUUACAAGAGAAAUAAAUAUUCUGUAAAAAUUCA